GAUGAACGCUGGCGGCGUGCCUAAUACAUGCAAGUCGAGCGAACAGACGAGGAGCUUGCUCCUCUGACGUUAGCGGCGGACGGGUGAGUAACACGUGGAUAACCUACCUAUAAGACUGGGAUAACUUCGGGAAACCGGAGCUAAUACCGGAUAAUAUAUUGAACCGCAUGGUUCAAUAGUGAAAGACGGUUUGCUGUAACUUAUAGAUUGAUCCGCGCCGCAUUUGCUAGUUGGUAAGGUAACGGCUUACCAAGGCAACGAUGCGUAGCCGACCUGAGAGGGUGAUCGGCCACACGGGAACGGAGACACGGUCCAGACUCCUACGGGAGGCAGCAGUAGGGAAUCGUCCGCAAUGGGCGAAAGCCUGACGGAGCAACGCCGCGUGAGUGAUGAAGGUCUUCGGAUCGUAAAACUCUGUUAUUAGGGAAGAACAAAUGUGUAAGUAACUAUGCACGUCUUGACGGUACCUAAUCAGAAAGCCACGGCUAACUACGUG
rnacentral:rRNA from 1 species